rnacentral:rRNA from 1 species
UACGGGGGGAGCAAGCGUUGUUCGGAUUUACUGGGCGUAAAGGGCGCGUAGGCGGCCAGCACAAGUCAGUUGUGAAAUCUCCGAGCUUAACUCGGAAAGGUCAACUGAUACUGUGCGGCUAGAGUGCGGAAGGGGCAACUGGAAUUCUUGGUGUAGCGGUGAAAUGCGUAGAUAUCAAGAGGAACACCUGCGGCGAAGGCGGGUUGCUGGGACGGUACUGACGCUGAGACGCGAAAGCGUGGGGAGCAAACAGG